UCCAGCUAAACCUGGUCCAGCCCCUGACACUUCGGCCAAAAGUGGUAGCAAAACUACUUACGCCCCUGAUUACAUGCCCACGUUUUUGAUCCCAUAUUUAGCUUAUUAUUCCAAAGACUGCAGGGACGAACACGAUAAACCAAGACGAGAUGGUGCUCCAUGCCUGGUAAGUCCAUCGGUGGAGGGAAUUGGUGGCCCGACGAACUGUUACGUUGGAAUUUGCUGGGAAGGCCUGUGUGAUGCCGUUCAACGAUCCAGAUGCGCCGCAAUGUGACAUUAGAGAGUAUCAGGCACGCUUUACUAGCACAUAGUACCUCGUCAAAAUAAAGUAAUAAAAACUUGACGUGUAUACAUGGUUACCUCCUUGGAUACCUCGAUCUACCUUGCGGCAAAGGAGGGACCGUGUAUUACGGUUGUUGGCGGCAAUUAUUAUUAAUAUAACCUUUUUUGUCUGCACUUGAUUCAAUAUCUGCAUUCAUCAGAUGCUCCGCGUUGUCUCUAUUCAGCUGUCUUGCGCCUUCUGACACCCUCAUAUGCAUGCAAGUCCAAAAUGCACAUCCAUUCCUCUAAUAUUCUACAGCUCUGGCAACAGUUCUUUCUGCUUUCGCGUCAACGUGACUCUUUCGAUCACAUCAUUUGGGCAGAAAAAGUGAAGCAGGUGUACUGGUAUCACCCGCGUGGCAUCACAAAAACGUUUUAAAAACAGAACAAGAAUUAACUGAAUAGAGGAGGAAACAAGAAGGCAAAAAAUCGCGAUAAACCAAAAUACAAACAAAAAAUUGUCAGUG